CACCGCGGUUAUACGAGAGGCCCAAGUUGAUAGCCACCGGCGUAAAGCGUGGUUAAGUUUAAACUCAUACUAAAGCCAAACAUCUUCAAGACUGUUAUACGUAACCGAAGACAGGAAGUUCAACCACGAAAGUGGCUUUAUCAAAUCUGAACCCACGAAAGCUAAGGAA
rnacentral:rRNA from 1 species